GCCUCGGGGCGCGCGGGCGGCGGUGGGGAGCAGGCGGGAGCGUGGCGGCUGCGGUGCUGCUGAUCCUUCGGCUGUGGUUAAGACGGCCCAGAGAGGACUCUCGUCGUUCUUCUGCUGGUUUGCCCAGCGGCACCGCCUGAAGAUGAAUGAAUUUAACUGCGAACGUGCUGUGCUCCGCCGGCGAAGCCCAGGAAAGCAAACCUCCGGGCGCUACCUCGCUGUGUCUCCGGGCUCCGAACGCACGUUGCUGGCCCGGUGUGAGCGCUGCUUGUUCCAGCAUCAGAAGCGUGAUCACAGCACGCCUGGCUCCACAUUCAAGGUCCGGCUGGAUGGGGCUCUGAGCAGCCUGAUGUAUUGUAGGGAUCCCUGUUCAUUGUGGGGGAGUUGGACUGGAUGACCUGCAAGGAUCCCUUCCAACUCAAAUGGUUCUAUGGUUCUGAGUCAAGUGUCAGUCAGUCCUAGCAUGGACCAAGAUGGAAGUGUGUCAUACAGCACAAGAGAUGAAGUUGACCAAGAAAAUAAAGAAAACCCUGCAAAAACAUCUGUCUCGUUGCCACUGUUGAUGUCAGAUGCUGUGAUAUGAGCCUGGGGAGUCAGUGCAGUAGUUCACCUGGCCCUUGCUCUUGUGAAGUCGUGAACAUCUUGUUCAGAGAAGAAACAGAUCGGUUUCAGCUUGAGGAGCCCCAGCCUGCAGUUUCUGCUUCUCUUUCAAGUUCUGUAGGCUCUGGCAAAAGAACAAAAGUGAAGAAGCAGCCCAGGCUAUUGCACCUUUAAGCUUGUAUUGUUUCCAGUGUUAGAACUCAGACUAUAGUUUGGAUCCUAAAGCUAAACUGAAGGCUGAAAAUCGCAAAAAUUAGAAGAAAGCUAAAUGUAAUGAUAGAUGGUUAGCUCAUCCUAUGAAAGAUGUCUGCACCUUAAAGCCGGGCUCUAAAAGAGCACAGUGUUCCUCUGGUUAUAUUUACAGCGUGGAGCUGAAGUCAAAAGAUGUUCAGAAAAUCCAGGAAAAGUGCCUUGAUGUGGAUUGAAGUUGUCAUGUGACUCACUGGGUCCUAAUGGAAAAUCUGUUGAACUUGCUCAAGCAGAUACAAGUAACUUAGCAGGGCUUGCUCCAUGGAGGUGUUUUCUGUCAUCAAGUGCCUGCGGAAUGGCACAAGAAUUCUUCCAGGGGAAACUUUAUCUCUUUUGGUGCAAGAAGUAUUCAUCACCACUUGAAAAUGAGCAGGUGAGAAAUCUCCAUGCAGCUUGCCAUUAAUGGGAUCCAUCCAAAUGUCUCCACUUUGAUUUUGCCAGUAAGAAACCUAUGAAGUGUGUUCUUAUUACUCCAUUAAACCAAGUGUCAGCACUUGUGGAAGCAUGCUAGUGAGAGGCCUUGCAGAUGUCCACUCUGAUCACGAGGUUGAUGUGAAGGACAGAAAGCAAAUGGCAGUGAGAAUCUCCUGGCUUUCUCCUUUUCCUGCCUGUGGAAUGCACUCAUGCAAGAUAGUAUGGUACCAGAAGGUGACAUGUUUUCACUGGAUGGUCUCCUAUUGUGGCAAACUGAUGGUAUCUGCUGCAAUGAUGUUAUGAUUACUUCACAGUUGAUGGCAAUCCUUUCUGAGACUGCAGGAACAAAGUCACUGAAAUAAUUGCCAGGUAAAGCCAUUCACUUUUCAGUGUGAGGUCAUUUCUACAUCUGGCCUAGCAAAAGAAAAUGUCUGUGGUCUUUCACAAAUUUUUGAAAGCUUCUGUGCAUGUCCAAGAAUGCUCCUAGGAAAGCAUCCACCAAACUUCGCUCCAUGGAACCUACCGUGUGCAGGAGGAUACGGAAAAUAAUUUUGACUGGUUGCAGGAGUUGUAUCAGGAUUUAGAUUGGAUAUAUUGCAGUAAGUGGCAAAUGCUGGGGCUGCAAGGAUAGAUGUAAGAGGCCUCACUAUUUUGCAUUACAUUCUACUUCUGACUAAAGAAGGAAAAUUUUGUGAACUUGAAGAAGUUCAUUGGCUCAAACAUUUGGAAUCACAUCUCUGAAGCUGUUUCUCUGCUGAAAUCAGUGAAUAGACUUUCACUUAAGUUCUACUCCCUUAAACCUGUAUGUAGGGAUAGGAACAAUGUCAGUGUGACACAGUAGACAUCUCACAAACUUUUCAAUUUAUUUUCUAUCAGCUGCUUUUUGAGUCUAAUAUUCAAUUGUAAAACAACUAUACAUGAUAUUAGCAUUGAUGGCCAAUAAGCCAUCCAUCUUCUUUUUAUAGAAGCCACAUAUUGCUGUUUAAUAUUGGAGUCUUUCUCCACAAAUAUAAGGAAUGAAAGAGUUUUGUUCUAAUUUGAGACAUUUUUUAUACAAGUUUUAAGCUGGUCUUCAAAAACGAUCCUUUUUUCUCCCUAUUUUGAGAUUGUGGACUUUAAUACUAAUACCACAAAUAUUUCUGGUCACUCUCCUUGAAGCAAGGAGAAUUAGAACUGGUAGAUGCAGAAGAGGGCAGUGAGAAAGAUCAGAAUGUGACAGUGAUCCUGCCUUACAGUAGGAAAUUGAAGGGAAUGAUUUGUUUAACUUUACAAAACAAAAGCAGAAAUGGGAUGUGUUUGCUGUCUGGAAAUGUAUCAGGUGGGUAAAUACCAGAGAGGAGAAAAGGAGCCAUGGGUGCUCCAGAAUACAAAUGUCUAGGAAUAAAUUUAAGCUUGAAAUUGGAAAAUAGUUUCUAGGCAUUCUAACAGUAGCCCUGCAAAUAGGAUUCAUGACUGCUUUUAAGAUUAACUUGCUAUGAUUACAAAUAUGAAAGGUUGGUGUGGAGAAAUAAAGCUGUUGUCAGGAUACCUGUUGCAGAAUGCAUUGUGAAGAGAUACUCCUGCAUAUUUUAACAGAUAUUUCUACCUACUCUAGCACUGAUAGUUUUCAGCAGUUUUCAGCAAGGAUUAUUGCAGGAGGGCCCAACAGCAGCAUUCUCAGGCAAGCAGUUCCUGAAAUAUCCUACAAAAGGGACAUUUGGGAUUGCCCCUUCCCUCACAGAUCAAAUCGUGCUGGUGAAUUUCCAGCCACAUGAGGACAAGAAAGAUUAUUCUGUGUCGUGGAAGAAAAACAUAAGUAAAAGGCUAAGUUAAUAUGGACUGAAAGAAAUGAGAAAAAAGCAGAUCCUGUACACUGGAAACUUAGAUUGUCCUAAAAAGUAGACAAAUGGAGGCCAGUAAGUGAUUUUUUUUUUUUAUUUUUAUUUAUUUUUUU